CUGCGCCUACGGGAGGCAGCAGUAGGGAAUCUUCCACAAUGGGCGAAAGCCUGAUGGAGCAACGCCGCGUGGGUGAAGAAGGUCUUCGGAUCGUAAAACCCUGUUGUUAGAGAAGAAAGUGCGUGGGAGUAACUGUUCACGUUUCGACGGUAUCUAACCAGAAAGCCACGGCUAACUACGUGCCAGCAGCCGCGGUAAUACGUAGGUGGCAAGCGUUAUCCGGAUUUAUUGGGCGUAAAGGCAACGCAGGCGGUCUUUUAAGUCUGAUGUGAAAGCCUUCGGCUUCACCGGGGUAGUGCAUUGGA
rnacentral:rRNA from 1 species